UACGGAGGGGACUAGCGUUGUUCGGAAUUACUGGGCGUAAAGCGCACGUAGGCGGAUUUGUAAGUCAGGGGUGAAAUCCCGGGGCUCAACCUCGGAACUGCCUUUGAUACUGCAAAUCUCGAGUCCGGAAGAGGUGAGUGGAAUUCCUAGUGUAGAGGUGAAAUUCGUAGAUAUUCGCAAGAACACCAGUGGCGAAGGCGGCUUACUGGUCCGGUUCUGACGCUGAGGCGCGAAAGCGUGGGGAGCAAACAGG
rnacentral:rRNA from 1 species